UGGUUACAAACUGGUCACCAAGGAAGGCCUAGAAUAAAACUACCACAACUUCCUAUUUCUACUUUAUUCUCCCCCUUCAAUACAGCUUUCUCUGGGUACAAAAUCUGAGUGUGACCACUCUUAUGAAAAUUCUGGUUUUACCUGGGGAAAGGAAGGUGUCUGCGUUGUGUCGUGAUUCAUUGGGGAACUAUGGAUGACAGGUACUGGAAGUUGAACUUCCACAGUGUAAACCAUGAAGAAUAUGCAUCAUCCUUGACUUGCAGCACCACUUCAAAAGACCAAGAAACUGCUGCAGAGGGACCUGAGAGCCAGCUGUAGAGGCCAACACAGCCUAUAAUGCUUUCGGAUAAUAACCAGAUUAUAGCUCCACAAUUCCAACAAAGAAACACAAGCAGUAUGGAUGUACAAUUUUGCCACAGAGCAUUUGCAGGAGAAAUGGUGCUGGUUGCUUAAAGAGCCUACUGGUUAUGAACUCCAAACCUUGCAGAGCAGAGAGAAGAACCUUGUGUUAAUGGACCAGACCUAUCACUUCCUAAGGCAUGAGAAGUAAAUGAAAAUGUAGCUAAUGAGUUCGUUACUGCGUCUGUGAGCAGGUCAAUGUGAAAAACAGCAAGGAUGGUAGAAUAUGCUGCAGUGACAAGUCAUGAACGCUGCCCACACAUGAUGUUUCCGAAUUUGACUGAGACCAGGGAAUGCAUUCACAAGUCUGAUUCAUUUUCAGAAAAAGUCUGCAAAUGUUUUGAGUUUUCAGCUUACAGAGGAGGAACCAAAUCUGGCAGUUGAGGUAAUGCAAUGACCAUGUCUCCAGAAACACCUUCUACCAGCAACAUCUGAUGGGUUACCAUCCUUACUCCCUGUCUUUCCAAUCUGACUCCUUCACAGUUCAAGUAGCAAUGACUCUUAACAGCUUGACCCAUCUGAAGGUACACGUGCUUCAGCAGAAAAUGGUGCACUAGAGAGUAUAUCACCUCUUGCACGUC